CGCACAUUGCGCCCGCCAGUAUUCUGGCGGGCAUGCCUGUUCGAGCGUCAUUUCAACCCUCAAGCCCUGCUUGGUGUUGGGGACCGGCCCCCGCCCUCUCUCCCUCUCCGGAGGGGAGAGGCGAGCCGCCCCCGAAAUGAAUUGGCGGUCUCGUCGCUGCCUCCUCUGCGUAGUAACAUACCACCUCGCAUCAGGAGCGCGACGCGGCCACUGCCGUAAAACGCCCAAAACUUUUUAGAGUUGACCUCGAAUCAGGUAGGAAUACCCGCUGAACUUAA
rnacentral:misc_RNA from 1 species